rnacentral:tRNA from 1 species
GCUAGCGUAGCUUAACACAAAGCAUAGCACUGAAGAUGCUAAGAUGGACUAUAAAAGGUCCCGCAUGCA